AUUGAACGCUGGCGGCAUGCUUUACACAUGCAAGCCGAACGGUAACAGGCCGCAAGGUGCUGACGAGUGGCGAACGGGUGAGUAAUGCAUCGGAACGUGCCCAGUCGUGGGGGAUAACGCAGCGAAAGCUGCGCUAAUACCGCAUACGAUCUCUGGAUGAAAGCGGGGGACCGAAAGGCCUCGCGCGAUUGGAGCGGCCGAUGUCAGAUUAGGUAGUUGGUGGGGUAAAGGCUCACCAAGCCAACGAUCUGUAGCUGGUCUGAGAGGACGACCAGCCACACUGGGACUGAGACACGGCCCAGACUCCUACGGGAGGCAGCAGUGGGGAAUUUUGGACAAUGGGCGCAAGCCUGAUCCAGCAAUGCCGCGUGCAGGAAGAAGGCCUUCGGGUUGUAAACUGCUUUUGUACGGAACGAAACGGUCCUGGUUAAUACCUGGGGCUAAUGACGGUACCGUAAGAAUAAGCACCGGCUAACUACGUGCCAGCCGCCGCAGUAAGAC
rnacentral:rRNA from 1 species